UCAAAGCAAUCCCAGUGCUCUAGUCACUUCACGCAUUUACCGCAUCUACACGCGCAGCUCAUCUUCUUGAACAAUCCAUCUCCCCACCCACCCACCGACCAGAGUCCCAAGAAGAACAAGAAGGCGAUCUAGCAGGGAGAAUGCCAUGGCCGCGCACGGGAGCUCACCCACCCUCCAGUUAGCGGUCAGCAUUUAGGUUUUUGCCUAUCAGCGAUUUGUUCAGCAAGAAGCCGCCGCCAAAAAAGUUCAUGGUGUUUGUCGGAAUGGAUAAUCAUUUUGCCGCGGAGGGAUUAGCAAGAGUUAUGAAUCAAGAUACAAUGAGCGAGGUUUCCCCGGAUGACUUAGAUAGCGAUGGCGAUUGUUCUGGCGGAUCCAGUGGUGUGGCAGGGACACCAUCAAUUACGUCUAGGCUCUCGUUGUUGAAGUUAGGCUCUGUUAUUUCCAAGUUUUCGGACUUCAAGAAACAACUAGUCAGAGAAACAGGUUUUGAUGGUUUGCUUCAGAUUAAGUCAUGGCAAAAAAUCAAUCUUAAGUACAGCACUUACCUCAUGGAUAGAGUCGAUGUUGACAGCAGCGUGAUCAACUUGGAAGGCCAGGGCAUGCUUGAGCUUACAGACAAGUCAGUUCACUCUGUUUUUGCAAUUCCAUGCGGUGAGCUAGCAAUUGGACCUGAAGGUGUCGAACCAUCCGAAGCUUGCAUUGAGUAUACACGUUUUGCAGCUAGCAUCAAUGACAAAGGUACACACAGCUUGAAAGCAGCAGAGGCAUACCUGCUACGGGACAUCACAGCCCAGUCCAGACAGAUUGAUAUCCAGUGUUUCAAAAUUGCAUUCGUCAUCUUUGUAGUUGGCCAUGUUCUUGCCCCAUCAGCCAAGCAUGAUUACAUAACAAUAGAUUUCUGGGCUGCCCUGAAUGAUGUUAGCAAAAUCAGAAAAUGGAACUGGUGCAGCUACCUUCUGAAGCACCUGUUCCAUGCUGUCAGGAAAUUCAAAUCAGAUGUCUCUAAGCGAAACCCAACCAUUCACAUUGUCGGAUGCCAUUUGUUCCUACAGCCUAGACCUUGGUCAAAUGAACAAGCCACACAGAAUGCAUCCAAGGAUAGCACUUUUCGAGUAUGAGUCCAUAAAGAAGAUGAUUGAGAUCAUAGCGGUCAACAUGGGAGGAGGUGAAAUAUCAUACCACGGCGCCUCGGCUAGGUCUGAACAAAACAUCAGCAAGGGCCUCGUCUGCGCAUCCACUGAUCCUGCAGACGAAAACAUUCCAAGGACAUCUACCAUGACCAAACGAGUCCAGAUGCCCUCCGCGCCUAUUUUAAGAGCUACCUACGCCAAAAUUGGACCCCAAGAUUUCUCAAACCAUCUACGGACAAACCACCCAUCAAUAGUAGCUCAUCUGCCAAUAGCUCAAUUGCACGGAAGAGGGGGGUUGUGUUCAGCCCGUCCAUCCAGGGGGAAUCAUCGAAGAAGGUCUGUGUGCGACUGGACGACCCACUCCAAACUAUUAGCCCUUCAGCUGUCGAUACUAUCAACAACUCAUCUUUGUCAGCAAAGCAAGAUAGUCGCCGUGAGGUUGCCGAUAGUAUAUAUGCAUUCUUUGACGACCUGACUGCUAGCAUUGUUACAUACUAUGCUGAGCAACGCCCGAGCUCUGGAUAUGUGACAUUCGGAACAACGAACGAUAGCGUGCCAGCCAAAAUUCGGAUUACUAAAUGCAACAUCGCCCGUGACCCAUGGGCAAUUGGGUCAGUCCCUUUGCCUCCGGCAGCUCCAGUUCUCAGGGCCAUAAAAGAUUGGUUUGCUGGGUCAGCCACUCUUAUUCUUGAAAGGAAAUGGAUUAUGCAUCCGAAGCCGAGACUCAUAUUACUUGACGGCAUUGAAAUCAAGCAACAACUAUCAGGCAAAGAACAGCUUAGCCAUGAGAUGUGUGCUGCUAUCUUUAGGAGACUGUCACAGAUGGACAAGAGCUUCAUGAAGGACACAUUGACCAUGUUUUGGAGGAAGUUUCUAGAGCCCGACUUCGCUACUGCGGUUUUGUCAAAUGCGGAUCCAUUGACGAUCCAGUCAAUCCGUGCAACAUUUAUCGAAGAAAACGAGAUUUUCAGCCCAGCCUCUAGCCGGAUGUGGCAUAUCCCUGCAUUGCUGCCCGACGGCUGGUCCGUCUACUCAUUUGACAUGCUCAGAAGAAGGAUUGCAGUACUUGACCCGGCAGUUGGACCAUUUGGGUUUAGCAACCGAAGGAUCAACAUGCACACAUACGUAUCUGACUUGCUACACGCUGCCCUCUUCAGAUGCAUCCAAUCCCUGUAUGAUUCCUGGCAUUGCAGUUCCGAAGAAUGGACCCGGGCAUUUCCUGUUAUCAUGGUAGAGAACAUUGAUAAGGAGGACUACGGUGUGUGCUCUUCGUUCUUCGCCAGGAAUUAUGAUGGCGACAAACUGCAGAUCCCACUAACCAAAGCAAACCUGGAGAUACAUAGGAACCUGAUGUUGUACGAGGUUAUGCGCCUUUAGGGCAAUGAAUCGUCAGUGCCUUCUGAUGCACUUGAAGCUAUCAAGGGAUCAUUCGUAGCUCUGUGACCAGCCUGUCUAUGCUUAUGUCAUGUACAUCGACUCACCAGCCGCCACCAAUCUAUCUUUAAGAAUACUAGCUAUCCGCAAGAUGUUUUAAGUGGUCCCUUAAGCACUAGCAAGUUAUGUUUUUUGCUAGAUGCAGUCUUGUUGUCAAACAAAAUUUGAGAGGCACGUUGUUUCUAAAUUUGGACGCUGCCAAUUCAAAUUGUAUCAGCCCAUUUGUCCUUAAGGGAUGCCCCCAUCUGUUUAAAUGGGAAACCAUAUGUUUC